rnacentral:sRNA from 1 species
UAUGGGAGCCGGAAGCAGGGCUUGUCCCACUCAUAGCUUUCUUUCCUCCCUCAGCUCAAUGUACUUCUCCAGUUCCUACCCUUCCACAAGUGGGGAACUCAGGAGACCAAGCAGGGGCAACUGUACUUCGGAUGGUCAGGCCCCAGGUGAGCUUGGUUCUUUGUGUUUUUCCCACGUCCCCAUGAGUCUGGUCCAGGAAUGGCUAGAGGUCUCACCCCCAGGACUCUGCCCCGAGACUAUUCCUGUGGCUCUCCUGCCUCAUUGCUUCCCCUGGAGGUAAUGGACUCUAUCUUGCCCUGGACUUGUCCUUUUCAAGGUGUCAUCUCAGCUCCUCUCUCCCAUACUUUUGCCCAUGAAGAGCCCAUACCCUGUGCCCUCUGUACCCCUGAUGACUCUGCCCUUCAGGCUGUGAAUGUUCCUGAGCAAUCGGAGCUUGUCAUUCCAGGAUACUGUGGCGUAUGAGGACCUGUCUGAGGACUAUACUCAGAAGAAAUGGAAAGGUGUCGCACUCAGUCAGAGAGCCCUGCACUGGAACAUGAUGCUGGAAAAUGACCGUAGCAUGACUUCCUUGGGUAAUGAUUCUGUUUUCUAGUCACUUAAGAGUCUGCAUGCUGCCAUUCUGUUUUUUAUAUUCCUUUUCUUUUUAAACUUUUUACUAUGAAAAUUUCCAAACGGAGAUAAGCUAGAGUGAAUAAGAGUCAGUGUGUAUGGAGCUGCCUGGGUCCUCUUGAAUAGGGACCCUCUCUGCACUCAGCUUGAACAAUGAUCAGCAUUCUCUUCACCUCAUUAUUGAUUGACAUAAGGUGGUUUAGGUAGGGUUUUUUUAGUUGUAAGGAAUAGAGAGCCACUCAAGUUAUUGUAAGUAAGGAGCUGUGAGUCAUAGGCUUAAAGGAAUGAGAACCCAGAAGAAACUGAUCAGCUAGACCAGACUGGGAAGUAGGGCCCUGACUCAGGGCAGCCUGGGAGCCAGAGCAGCAAAAGCAAAUGCAUGUUGAUGCCUGUGUUCCGGUGUGAAUGUAAUGCAGCUGCUCGCAGUGUAUCUGUUUUCUCUCUGCUUGUACUCCUCCUGCUGCCCAUUUUCUUCACUGUGAAUCUUUUGUCCUUUUCGUAGUUCUUUCCUAAUUGUACUUCCUGUUCCCUUAUAUUUGUUGCUUGCUGUGUCUCCUAAUGGCUUGGCGUCUCUCCAUGUAUCACUUCAGAUUCCAUUACCACUCGUAAUUUUGCCCUACUUCUAGUUCCACAUUUCCUUAGAGACAGAUUCCCAUUGCUGUAGCCAUUACCCAUCAUCUCGGCUGGGCAGAGCUUUGGCUUAGGCCAUGGCAGAGGCUGAAGACUAACCUACAGAUAAGCUGCCCUUGGGUCUGGUACCUGGUACUGGUCCAAUCACUUGCAGUCCAUCAUGGGAUGAUGUUCAGGGUCACUUGCCACAGAGCAUGGUUGCCUAAGUGUUCCUCUCUGCAAAGACUGGGGCAGUGCAGUUUCCUGGAAGGGCUUCUUGGCAGGGCAGGUGCUGUGAUUGAUGUGUAUGGGGCAGUAGCCAACUCUGGAAAGGGUGGGCUUAGGAAUCUUUCACCCAGACAUCUUAAACUUUCCAUAGGCUAACUGACAUGAUGGCUGUGGCCCCAAUUCAGAUGUGAUUGAAAGGAACCCACAUUUUGGUGUUUUUCCAUGGCCAUGAUUACUCUGCCUUCUCCCAGAUUUUGUAUUCAGAAUUCCAAAAGGCAAAUAUUUACCUGUUCAUUUCCUUUAUAUUCUAGGGAAUCAAAGACAUUUUAAUUUAUAUUUCAAAUGAUUGAUGUCCCUGUUAUCUUUUCUGGGAGUACACAACUGGCUCCUUACCAGGCCAGUGCUCUGAGGGCCAGUGGCAUCCCCACUUUUAGAACUCUGCUGUCUCCUUCAAUACUGCUGUCCAGCUUUUCUCAACUGAUAGCUUCUCCAGAUCUUGUUACUGUCCUGUCAUACACAUCUCUCCUUUUUGUACGCUUUCCUAAUCAUACACUCAUAGUAGAAAUUUCUCAACUCAUUCCUAUCUUUUCCUUGUCUCUUUCUUAUAUUUGACUUGAGGUAUUUGCCAGCCUUCCCUCUCCCAACAUCUUUUCUGAGAACCAUGGAACCAUGUAAUGUCAUGGUUGGAAGGGAACUCAAAGUUUACCAUUUUGCUAAAGAGACAUAGCAUGAGAGUGACUUAUAUAAGAUCACAGCAUGCUUUGCAAUCCAGUCUCUUGCUUUCCAAUGGCCCUUCUGACUUGGCUGUGCUGGCUCAAUAUCUUUUUUCCACCCUCCUCCGCUGACCAUCUUCUUCUUCCUUGUUUUUCUAUCCCUAAGAUACAAUUGAGCAUUUUGCUCUUGUUCUCAAUGUGUCAUCUCAUUUCUUAACCAUAAUGUGACUUUUUUCAGGUAUGUUAGCUCUUUAUGAUUCUGUUUCUUCAACAGGAAAAGAAAUGAGUAAAAGUUGUUGUCUUAUUUCUUUUGGCAGCAGGUAGGAACAUGAUGGAGAGUUCAGAGCUGACUCCGAAGCAGGAAAUUUUUAAAGUAUCAGAGUCAUCUAAUAGUACAUCAGGGGGAUUCUUUGGGGUGGUUCCUGGGGAAACAGAGACUGGAGAUGUUUGUGAAGAUACCUUCGAAGAGUUAGAAGGACAACCCUCAAAUGAAGAAGGGAGCAGACUAGAAAGUGAUUUCUUGGAAAUAACAGAUGAGGAUAAGAAAAAAUCCACAAAAGACGGAUAUGAGGAAUAUAAGGAAGUUGGGGAACAUCCACAUCUGUCUUCCAGUCCUGUUGAACAUGAAGGAGUUUUAAAGGGACAGAAAUCCUAUCGAUGUGACGAAUGUGGCAAAGCUUUUUAUUGGAGUUCGCACCUCAUUGGUCAUCGGAGAAUCCACACUGGAGAGAAACCCUAUGAGUGUAAUGAGUGUGGGAAGACCUUCAGGCAAACCUCCCAGCUCAUUGUUCAUCUCAGAACCCACACAGGGGAAAAACCCUAUGAAUGCAGUGAGUGUGGAAAGGCCUAUAGGCACAGCUCCCAUCUCAUUCAACACCAGAGACUCCAUAAUGGGGAGAAACCCUAUAAAUGUAAUGAAUGUGCAAAAGCUUUUAAUCAGAGCUCCAAACUCUUCGACCACCAGAGAACCCAUACUGGGGAGAAACCUUAUGAAUGUAAGGAGUGUGGGGCAGCCUUUAGUCGGAGUAAAAAUCUUGUUCGACAUCAGGUUCUGCACACUGGUAAGAAACCUUAUAAGUGUAAUGAAUGUGGGAGAGCAUUCUGUUCCAAUAGAAAUCUCAUUGACCAUCAGAGAACCCACACUGGGGAGAAGCCUUAUAAAUGUAAUGAAUGUGGCAAAGCCUUCAGUCGGAGUAAAUGUCUUAUUCGACAUCAGAGCCUCCACACUGGGGAAAAGCCAUACAAAUGUAGUGAAUGUGGGAAAGCCUUCAAUCAGAUCUCUCAACUUGUUGAACAUGAGCGAAUUCAUACUGGAGAAAAACCAUUUAAGUGUAGUGAGUGUGGUAAGGCAUUCGGUCUGAGUAAAUGUCUUAUUCGGC